rnacentral:rRNA from 1 species
UACAUAGGGUGCGAGCGUUGUCCGGAAUCAUUGGGCGUAAAGAGCUCGUAGGCGGCCUGUCGCGUCGGAUGUGAAAACCCGGGGCUCAACCUCGGGCCUGCAUUCGAUACGGGCAGGCUGGAGUUCGGCAGGGGAGACUGGAAUUCCUGGUGUAGCGGUGAAAUGCGCAGAUAUCAGGAGGAACACCGGUGGCGAAGGCGGCGAUCUGGGUAGAUACUGACGCUGAGGUGCGAAAGCGUGGGGAGCAAACAGG